ACCCCGAUCCCAAGCACCAUGGAGCCGACGAUUUGGAUCAAGACCUACGUCCCAAGCACCAAGGUGCCUGGUUGAUAUGGAUUGCGAUCCCGAUCCGGAGCUCCAGGGCGCCGAGGAUUUCGAUCACGAUCCCGAUCUGAAGCACCGAGUAGCCGAGGAUAUGGAUCAAGACCCCGGUCCGAAGCGACAAGGAGGCAAGGAUUUGGAUCACCACUCCGAUCAAAGGCACCAAGGCGUCGAGGGAUUGGAUCGAGAUCCCGAUCCCAAUCAUGAUGUUGGCUAUGUAAUUUCCUGUUUUCCACACCGUUCAGGGCAUUUUGGUGGUCGAAUCGGCUUUUAGUUGCUUGCUUGGUGUUAGUGCCAAGGGAGUGGUUGGAAGCUAGGUCGUCCUCUGGAAUGCUUGUUGUAAAGGUGUAUGAGUUGUGUUUGGCUUGUUACGGGUGUUUGUUGGCUGCUUGUGCAGGAACUUUCAUGCGUCCAAGCCUCUUCAGUUGUGCUACAAGGCCUUGUUUGUCUUGUGCAUACGGUGGGUUUCCUGUGUUGCAUACCUAAUCAAGGGCAUCGUAUGGCUUGAUCGAAGUAAAUAUUCGUAAUGCGCCGCUUGCGGCGUUGCACGAACCUCGAAGUGGUCUCUGUGGCCCAUGUUGUUUUUGCUCACGCAUGGAUGGCAUGGCCCUCGGAGCGUCGCUUGGUCUCUUGGAUACGGAACCUGAUGAUGUGGGCGGUAGGGUCUUGGAUGAUUCUACCUUCGC
rnacentral:misc_RNA from 1 species